rnacentral:piRNA from 1 species
GACAUUCUCUGAAAUUUGCAUGAGCCU